rnacentral:rRNA from 1 species
GACGUAGGGCGCGAGCGUUGUCCGGAUUUAUUGGGCGUAAAGAGCUCGUAGGCGGUUUGUCGCGUCGUUCGUGAAAACUCACAGCUCAACUGUGAGCUUGCGGUCGAUACGGGUAGGCUAGAGUUCGGUAGGGGAGACUGGAAUUCCUGGUGUAGCGGUGAAAUGCGCAGAUAUCAGGAGGAACACCGGUGGCGAAGGCGGGUCUCUGGGCCGAUACUGACGCUGAGGAGCGAAAGCGUGGGUAGCAAACAGG